rnacentral:rRNA from 1 species
UACGGAGGGUGCGAGCGUUGUUCGGAAUUAUUGGGCGUAAAGCGCGUGUAGGCGGUUACUUAAGUCUGAUGUGAAAGCCCCGGGCUUAACUUGGGAAGUGCAUUGGAAACUGGGCACCUUGAGGGUAUGAGAGGAAAGCGGAAUUCCUAGUGUAGCGGUGAAAUGCGUAGAUAUUCGGAGGAACACCGGUGGCGAAGGCGGCUUCCUGGACCGAUACUGACGCUGAGACGCGAAAGCGUGGGGAGCAAACAGG